rnacentral:rRNA from 1 species
AUGAACGCUGGCGGCGUGGAUAAGGCAUGCAAGUCAAGGGGGCCCGCAAGGGCAACCGGCAGACGAGGUAGUAAUAAUCAAGUACACACCGUGGAGUCGGGCAUAGCUAGCCGAAAGGUUAGGUAAUUCCCGAUAAUCUCGCAAGAGCAAAGUUUUUCGCUCCAUGAGUGGCUUGAUCGGUAUCAGCUAGUUGGUAAGGUAAUGGCUUACCAAGGCUAUGACGCCUAGGGGACCUGAGAGGGUGACCCCCACCGAUGGGACUGAGACACGGCCCAUACACCUACGGGUGGCUGCAGUCGAGAAUCUUCCGCAAUGGACGAAAGUCUGACGGAGCGACGCCGCGUGGAGGAUGAAGUGCUUCGGCAUGUAAACUCCUUUUGCCAGGGAAAAAGUUUAUUGAUUGUACCUGGAGAAUAAGAAGUUGCUAAACUCGU